rnacentral:rRNA from 1 species
UACGUAGGGUGCAAGCGUUGUCCGGAAUUAUUGGGCGUAAAGAGCUUGUAGGCGGUUUGUCGCGUCUGCUGUGAAAUUUCGGGGCUCAACCUCGGGUCUGCAGUCGAUACGAGCAAACUAGAGUGUUGCAGGGGAGACUGGAAUUCCUGGUGUAGCGGUGAAAUGCGCAGAUAUCAGGAGGAACACCGGUGGCGAAGGCGGGUCUCUGGGCAACAACUGACGCUGAGGAGCGAAAGCGUGGGGAGCGAACAGG